GAUGAACGCUGGCGGCGUGCUUAACACAUGCAAGUCGAACGAAGCACCUUAUUCUGAUUUCUUCGGAAUGAAAAAUUUGGUGACUGAGUGGCGGACGGGUGAGUAACGCGUGGGUAACCUGCCUCAUACAGGGGGAUAACAGUUAGAAAUGACUGCUAAUACCGCAUAAGACCACAGCACCGCAUGGUGCAGGGGUAAAAACUCCGGUGGUAUGAGAUGGACCCGCGUCUGAUUAGGUAGUUGGUGAGGUAACGGCCUACCAAGCCGACGAUCAGUAGCCGACCUGAGCGGGUGACCGGCCACAUUGGGACUGAGACACGGCCCAAACUCCUACGGGAGGCAGCAGUGGGGAAUAUUGCACAAUGGGGGAAACCCUGAUGCAGCGACGCCGCGUGAGCGAUGAAGUAUUUCGGUAUGUAAAGCUCUAUCAGCAGGGAAGAAAAUGACGGUACCUGACUAAGAAGCACCGGCUAAAUACGUGCCAGCAGCCGCCGUAA
rnacentral:rRNA from 1 species